ACUCGUCUGAGCGAGUAUAAACAGGUCAUUAAGCUCAGAGCGUUCACCGGGAUCAUUCGGUGAGGUUGGC
rfam:Paenibacillus polymyxa ATCC 842 contig25, whole genome shotgun sequence.